CCUACGGGAGGCAGCAGUGGGGAAUAUUGGACAAUGGGCGCAAGCUGAUCCAGCCAUACCGCGUGGGUGAAGAAGGCCUUCGGGUUGUAAAGCCCUUUUGUUGGGAAAGAAAUCCAGCCGGCUAAUACCUGGUUGGGAUGACGGUACCCAAAGAAUAAGCACCGGCUAACUUCGUGCCAGCAGCCGCGGUAAUACGAAGGGUGCAAGCGUUACUCGGAAUUACUGGGCGUAAAGCGUGCGUAGGUGGUUAUUUAAGUCCGUUGUGAAAGCCCUGGGCUCAACCUGGGAACUGCAGUGGAUACUGGAUGACUAGAAUGUGGUAGAGGGUAGCGGAAUUCCUGGUGUAGCAGUGAAAUGCGUAGAGAUCAGGAGGAACAUCCAUGGCGAAGGCAGCUACCUGGACCAACAUUGACACUGAGGCACGAAAGCGUGGGGAGCAAACAGGAUUAGAUACCCUGGUAGUCCACGCCCUAAACGAUGCGAACUGGAUGUUGGGUGCAAUUUGGCACGCAGUAUCGAAGCUAACGCGUUAAGUUCGCCGCCUGGGGAGUACGGUCGCAAGACUGAAACUCAAAGGAAUUGACGGGG
rnacentral:rRNA from 1 species